rnacentral:misc_RNA from 1 species
CUGAGUAUCUUACUCUCUAAACCCAUGUGAACCUUACCACUGUUGCCUCGGUGGUUUUUGGCUGGCACUCGUGUCGGCCAUUAGCCGCCGGUGGACUUUAUAAACUCUUGUUUUUAGUGUCUCUCUGAGUAACUAUACAAAUAAAUCA